AUCUUAACUGCUGCUGUGCCUGCUGGCAGCAGGGAAGGACUCAGAGCUGCUCCCAAGUUAGUGAGAUUGCAUGGGCUGGGCCAAUGCACUGCAGCAGCAAUGCCAGUAGAUGUGCUCAGAAUAAAUUGGACUUUGUAACUUGAAUCAACGCCAAAGAACAAGGCUGAUCUCUAGAACAGCAGCUAGCAGACCACAAAGGGAGGCUAGCAGAAAAGCACAGUCACCAGCUGCUGAGAGCUAUGACAUGUCCUGCGGAUGAGGAGCUCGGGGACCGGGUACCGCAUUCCAGUGUGGUGUACCAGCUGCGGAUGAACGGCUGCACCUCUUUUAAACUCACUUGUGGGCCCUUUGGGAAGAGUCACACAGAAGCAGCGACAUUCAGAGCAGCAGAGCUGGGCUGGGAUCCUUCCAGUAUUUCUGUCUAGCACAUAAACGGAGAGCAGACCCCAACGGGCUAAGUACAGCUGUUGUCUGAGCGCUCGCCCUGCACCUGAUGCUAAUGGAGCUGCGUGCGUCAGUGGAAUGUGGCCCUCAGCAUUGCAUGGGAUUAUCUCCUUUUAGAAGCCUGGGCAAGAUGAUGAUGCGUUGGAUCUCUGUUGCACAGCACAUCCCAAAUGGACCGAGCACAUCUAACGCUGCCACUGAGAUGUAAGCGUGGAAGUGUCCUAUGGCUGAGGGCAGGUGAUCCAAUGGGAUCAGAAAAAACAGGUGAUGGUGAGACUGGCAACUGUGCCCUUUGCUGAUUCCUCAGAGCUGUCCUGUAAUUCUUCCCACAUUCAGAUGGAGUUGACCAAAGCCCGGUACUGGUUUCUAAGCAGAAGCCAGGCUAAAGGACAGAGUGAAAUAGCAGCCCGUUGCCUGUGCUACUCAACACCAGCCAUAAAGCAGGAAAAGGGAUUUCCUUUCCUCCCUCCCAUGGCACUCUGAGUGUCUUAAGAGUCCCAUUUAUCCACCAGUGUUUGUGAGCUAGACCUCAGUAUGUUCCAAGUGGUCAGCAGCUGGCAGGAAGCACCGGCAAUCACAGCAAUCCUCACAGCUCAGUUUGCAGCAGGCUCUUUGGAUUCCUGCCUUUAAGUCAUACAGGGACUUCAGAGUGCAGGUAAUGGGGUAUUUAAGAAGGAAAAAAUUGAAAUCUGACAGAUGUUUUUCACUGAGCUCUUCCUGAAGCAGCGGACUGCUGGGGCUGAGCCAGUGCUGCAGACCUGGGAAAACCUGCAUCAUGUAGUGCUUUUGGAUGUCCGAGGCUGCUUCCUUCCGGGGGGCACGUGCUGCAGCACAGACCAUUCCUGCAUGCUGUGUCCUAGUGCUCAUUCUGGGAUGUGUCAUUCUGGGAUGCGUCCUUGGCCUCUGCUUCCCCGAUCACAAGAUUUCACAUACUAUUUGGACAGCAGGAAGAGCUUCCUGCUCUUCCCAGGAUGAAACAAUGAAAUCUGCUCAUGGAUAACUGAAAGGCAGAGGAGAGGCAUCUCCAAGAUGUGCAGCCACUCAGAAGCACAGACAUAGGAUGUACCGCCCUCCUCGAGGCUAGAGGCGAGCUGUGAACAAGGCUGGCACGUUUGUAAGAGAUUUUAAUUACAACUGCUGCACAUUUUAAUAUGCACAUAGCAUGGUGUGGGGAUGUUUCAUACAGGUAUUAAAAUAUAU
ensembl:lncRNA